rnacentral:rRNA from 1 species
UUAAAGAGUUCUAUAACUCCCAAACCCAUGUGAACAUACCAAACGUUGCCUCGGCAGGUCGCACCUACCUUGUAGCACCCUAUCCUGUAGGGCCUACCCGGGACGUGCGGGUAAGCCUGCCGGCGGCCCAUUAAACUCUGUUUGAUAUUGAAUUCUGAACCUAUAACUAAAUAAGUUAAAACUUUCAACAACGGAUCUCUUGGUUCUGGCAUCGAUGAAGAACGCAGCGAAAUGCGAUAAGUAAUGUGAAUUGCAGAAUUCAGUGAAUCAUCGAAUCUUUGAACGCAUAUUGCGCCCAUUAGUAUUCUAGUGGGCAGGACCGUUCGAGCGUCAUUUCGACCCUUAAGCCUUAGUUGCUUAGUGUUGGGAGCCUACGGCGACGUAGCUCCUCAAAGUUAGUGGCGGAGUUGGUUCACACUCUAGACGUAGUAAAUUUUUAUCUCGCCUAUUAGUUGGACCGAUCCCCUGCCGUAAAACCCCCAACUUCUCAAGGUUGACCUCGAAUCGGUUCAGACAAACUCGCUAAAUUGAAGCAUCUUAGUCAGCGAAGGAAAAGAAACCAACAGGGAUUGCCCUAGUAACGGCGAGUGAAGCGGCAACAGCUCAAAUUUGAAAUCUGGCCCUCGGGUCCGAGUUGU